GGGCCCGCACAAGCAGUGGAGUAUGUGGUUUAAUUCGACGCAACGCGAAGAACCUUACCAAGACUUGACAUGUAUAUGAAUAUAUUUGUAAUGAAUAUAGCUUUUCGGAGCAUAUACACAGGUGAUGCAUGGUUGUCGUCAGCUCGUGUCGUGAGAUGUUGGGUUAAGUCCCGCAACGAGCGCAACCCUCGUGAUUAGUUGCUAAUUUAUUAGAACUCUAAUCAGACUGCCGUAGUUAAUACGGAGGAAGGUGAGGAUGACGUCAAAUCAUCACGUCCCUUAUGUCUUGGGCUACACACGUACUACAAUGGUCGUUACAAAGAGAAGCGAAACAGCGAUGUGGAGCAAAUCUGAAAAAGCGAUCUAAGUUCGGAUUGAAGGCUGAAACUCGCCUUUAUGAAGUUGGAAUUGCUAGUAAUCACAGGUCAGCAUACUG
rnacentral:rRNA from 1 species